UCGAGCGAGAAAGGGCUUCGGCCCCGGUACAGCGGCGCACGGGUGAGUAACACGUAGGUAAUCUACCCCUGAAUGGUGGAUAACCCUCCGAAAGGAGGGCUAAUACAGCAUAAGACCACGGCUUCUUCGGAGGCUGAGGCCAAAGCGGGCCACUUUACAAAAGCUCGCGUUUGGGGAUGAGCCUGCGGCCCAUCAGCUAGUUGGCGGUGUAACGGACCACCAAGGCUAAGACGGGUAGCUGGUCUGAGAGGAUGAACAGCCACACUGGAACUGAGACACGGUCCAGACUCCUACGGGAGGCAGCAGUGGGGAAUCUUGCGCAAUGGGCGAAAGCCUGACGCAGCGACGCCGCGUGAGUGAUGAAGGCCUUCGGGUUGUAAAGCUCUGUGGGGAGAGACGAAUAAGUGUCGGCUAAUACCCGGCUCGAUGACGGUAUCUCCUUAGCAAGCACCGGCUAACUCUGUGCCAGCAGCCGCG
rnacentral:rRNA from 1 species